UUUGAUCUUGAAAUGCUAACGAUUUCUCCGCGAUUCUGGAUCCCGGUGAGGAAAUAUAAAUCGUUAGUGGCUUGUUAAUGCACGUGAGACGCAGGAAAUAAUCUUAAUGAUCGCCAUUUACUAAUGACGAUAUGUAGAAACUAGGGAAAUGAAAGCUGCAUCAUUUGCGAGAGACUGAAGAGCAAAGUGGUGUCGGUGGCCCGAGAGUCUUCGCAGCCAAAAGGAUAGUGACGUCCGCAUAUGUUUGGAGUGUUUCCACUGGCUCGCGUGCCACUCACCGGCAUCAGUCCGUGAAACAACUUUAACUUCAUUUUUUCAUCCGUAAUAAUGACGCACUGCUCAUUGUCUGAGAUGCCUUGGCCCUGGACGCGCCUGAAACACCAGUGAUUUUCAUUAUUGAGCUUGAAUGAAAGCUCUUUAUUCCAUUUCGAGAUCGUCUUCGAGCCGAAUCUUGGAAACAACGAACCGGUCGUCGCUCCCGGCCAAAUUUAAAUACUCCCACUGCUGUAUCGAGAUGUCACGAACAUUAAGGAAAACGUGCAAAAUCUGCGAAUUCCCAGCAGAAUUGGAACAGUAAAAAAAUUAAUAAAGUUCUCACUUAUGCAUAAGCUUCAACGUGACAGUGGUAAUUGUAGCAUUUUUCCUGUAUUACCGACGCAUCGGUAAUGUAGGGAAUAUAGUAGAUAUUAAUUUGCGAUUCAACCUGAUGCCUAAUAAAAAUCAAUAAUGAAUAAUCAAUAAUAUGAUUGAUGAUUAAUCGGGGAAUUUUGAAAUUUUGUCUCGCUGUCUUUGUGCUGUCACGAGCGGUAGCUCAACGUGAGAAGAUUUAUCUUCGCUUCGCGGUAAAUCGGAUUGGCCGAACCAAUAAAUUUCAGCGCUGAGCUUUGUCGGCUGUCCCUGUCUUCGAAUUUUUGGAAAUUGCUUUAUCACUUCAGCCCAUUUCCCUAGGUCAAACUCUCCCUAUUUUAAACUCAUCUGGCCCAGUUAAGUCUACUGCUCUCCGGUGAACUCGGAUGAGCUCGUGAAAUAUAAACGCGUGUAUUUAUACCUUUGUUAAUAGCGAAAAAUGGGAAGGCAAAUAAAUACAAUAGAGUCCUGGGUCAUUUCGAGAUGGUGAAGAGAAAGUGGGAGGUGAUAACAGAGCAGAAACGAACGUCUCAGUUUUAUAAAGCUCUCGCAGAGAUUUUGGCAAAUAUUCAAAAGUUUGAACUAUUUAAAAUUUUGAAUUAAUUGAAAUGAUUUUAUUCACAAUUCGAUUACAUAAUUUUAAUAAAUUGGAAUUAGUCAAUUCGAAAAAUAAUUCGAUUAUCCGAACAAAAUUAAAAAACUCUGGAAUUCUUUCAUGAAAUGCAUAAAUAAAUUGUCCGCCGGGAAUUUACUUGAAAAAUGAAAAAAUUAGUGGCAUUCUGUCUCUUUAAAUGUCACUUGAAAUGUUCGAAACGUUUGCUACCAUCGGUUAAGUAGGAAAUCCGCUGAAUUUAUCCUCCGCGGUGUUAUUGUGCGCCAUCAGAUGAUGAGUCUAAUGUAGAUGGUAAAAUUCCUGGAGUCCGACGCCCCCAGGACAACGCUAGUAACGAUCCCAACGGCGAGAGGCGCCACAGUCCAUUGUGGGGGGUAAAGUAUGACGUCUCUUAGCAAAUUGAGCGCCAAAGUUGAAAUUGUAGAUUCGUUAGCCGAUAAACCUCUAAAGAGGACUCCAUCGAAGUUGUCUCGUUCUCUCUCGGCAUGAUUGGGUUCAGGUUGGUUGUAUACCCCGAAAUUCCAGCAUUAGAACCACAUUUUUCCUCUCCUUAAAACCUCAUUGCCGUUAAAAGCAAUAUCCUAAUCCAACACUAUUCCAACUUUCUCCUCAAUAAACAACCCUCAUUUAGAAGAUUUUCCUGCGAAGAGUCCCACUCACGACUCUUCCUAAUUCUAAGACCCACAUGUCCACUCUCUACCCCUACUCCGAUCUUCUAAUAGUUAUCACGUGGUCAUCUCUCAAAUUCUCCCAAGAAUAUUUUGUAGACCUCACUUUUCGAAUCACCUUUGAACACAACUAUUUGUCUCAAUAAAUUGUACUCCCAGACAAGCAAAUAAAGUUCUUUUAUUUUUGUGGAUUAUAAAAAACGAGUACGUUUACUCUGGUAUCCAACAGG